GACGAACGCUGGCGGCGUGCUUAACACAUGCAAGUCGAACGGAAAGGCCCUGCUUUUGUGGGGUGCUCGAGUGGCGAACGGGUGAGUAACACGUGAGUAACCUGCCCUUGACUUUGGGAUAACUUCAGGAAACUGGGGCUAAUACCGGAUAGGAGCUCCUGCUGCAUGGUGGGGGUUGGAAAGUUUCGGCGGUUGGGGAUGGACUCGCGGCUUAUCAGCUUGUUGGUGAGGUAGUGGCUUACCAAGGCUUUGACGGGUAGCCGGCCUGAGAGGGUGACCGGCCACAUUGGGACUGAGAUACGGCCCAGACUCGUACGGGAGGCAGCAGUGGGGAAUAUUGCGCAAUGGGCGGAAGCCUGAUGCAGCAGCGCCGCGUGCGGGAUGAUGGCCUUCGGGUUGUAAACCGCUUUCGACUGUGACGAAGCGUGAGUGACGGUAAUGGGUAAAGAAGCACCGGCUAACUACGUG
rnacentral:rRNA from 1 species